GGUGAGAUGGCUGAGCGGUCCAAGGCGCCAGACUAAGGAACGACCAGGGCAGCUGCUGCUCCGAUAUCUGGUCUCUCCGGAGGCGUGAGUUCGAAUCUCGCUCUCAUCA
rnacentral:tRNA from 1 species